UUUACUUCUUUGCUUUUGGAAUUAAACUUUGAGCUCAUAUGUGCGGAAUAUUUGUUAGGUUCGGAGGCGACAACGAGUACCGCAGCUCCACGUAGGGAGUGACUGCGUUGGUUUUCUUUUUGUUGGAGACCGAGUUUUGCAGGUAUAGGUCGGUGUCCACUACAGGUCGCGUUUUGCAUUUUGUGACUCGCUCGAGAAGUGCGUAGUUGAGGCCUGUGGGAGUCCUUGUCUCCUGGCCCGUAGAUGAUUUUUGCUUAGUUUAGUUUUGGAUAUUAGUUGGUUAUGUUUAUUUCUUGACAGACUUCCGCUGUAGUUUGUAAAUGACAAUCAUUUUUGAGAUGUAAAUAAAAUGUGGCUUUUAAACUUCAA